GUGGGGGAUAUUGCACAAUGGAGGAAACUCUGAUGCAGCGACGCCGCGUGAGUGAAGAAGUAUUUCGGUAUGUAAAGCUCUAUCAGCAGGGAAGAUAAUGACAGUACCUGACUAAGAAGCCCCGGCUAACUACGUGCCAGCAGCCGCGGUAAUACGUAGGGGGCAAGCGUUAUCCGGAUUUACUGGGUGUAAAGGGAGCGUAGACGGAAUGGCAAGUCUGAAGUGAAAUCCUGCGGCUUAACUGCAGAAUUGCUUUGGAAACUGUCAAUCUGGAGUGUUGGAGAGGUAAGCGGAAUUCCUGGUGUAGCGGUGAAAUGCGUAGAUAUCAGGAAGAACACCGGAGGCGAAGGCGGCUUACUGGACAAUAACUGACGUUGAGGCUCGAAAGCGUGGGAAGCAAACAGGAUUAGAAACCCUUGUAGUCC
rnacentral:rRNA from 1 species